rnacentral:rRNA from 1 species
UACGGAAUGUGCAAACGUUAUUCGGAAUCACUGGGCUUAAAGAGUCCGUAGGCGGCUUGUUAGGUGAGGUGUGAAAUCCCUCGGCCCAACCGAGGAAUUGCGCUUCAAACCGGCAAGCUAGAGGAGGAUAGAGGUGGGCGGAACUGAUGGUGGAGCGGUGAAAUGCGUUGAUAUCAUCUGGAAUACCGGAGGCGAAGGCGGCUCACUGGGGGUUUUCUGACGCUGAGGAACGAAAGCCAGGGUAGCGAACGGG